GCUUGUUGCCAUACCACCCUGAACACGCCUGAUCUCGGUAGCUAAGCAGGGUCGGGCUUGGUUAGUACUUAGAUGGGAAAUCACCUGGAAAUACCAGGUGCAGUAAGCA
ensembl:rRNA 5S_rRNA 5S ribosomal RNA